GCUCUAAGUGAUUUUCAAUUAUGAAAGGCGACAGCCGAAGGAGGAGAUUGGGAGGAACUACAAUAGCUGCGGAAAUUUCAGGAACUGUGUAUAAAGUUUUACCUGGGGGAAUGUAAAAAAUGUCUUGCAUAAAAAGUUUUUAAUUGCCAUGUGCUCUUGGCCGAAAAAAGUACGUGGCGAAGAGGGAAGUUUGCUGUAGUAAUUAGUUGGGCCUGCUUGAAGCUGCAAAUUAAGCCAUAAUUAUGCACAGCCAGCGACACUUUCAAGGAGUUGACUAAGCCAUCAAGAGGCUCAGUACAAACUGGUACUACCCCUCAACCGAACAGCAUCCGAAACCACAGGCAUCGCAAAGUCUAACCGCAACAAUUGGCUAACAAGUUGUCGCUGGUCAACAGUUCAUACAACAUCAACACAAAAAAGGAUACAAAAUAUUUGCUUAAAACAUAAAGUUGGUCCUCGCAGAGGAAUUGAGCUGAAACGUUUGGAACGCUGGAAUGGUUUGAGUGAAAUGCAACAGUGGCAACCGACUGGAACACUCGCAGGAUAAUUUCCCUCUGGCAAAAGGACUCGGCAAUGAGGAACAAGAUGGAAAGGCGGCGACAAUUGCAGCUGCCUUUUCAUUCUUGGAUUCCUGCAGUUCUGUAUUCUGGUCAUAGACCGUUUUCCACCAUUGUUACGCCAGAUUGCUGAUGAUGGCGAUGGAGAGGGGGUGAAGGACAAGGACAUGACUGAUAAGCGUGGCAGCGACACUGUCAAAGGUUGUGAUUGAUGCACACAGGUUGUAGCUGCUGUCAGGACAGUGGACAUUAAGUGCGAAUCACAAUCAACCGCAAUUGAUAUGGGAUCCAAAAAGGACAAUAAAUGCAAACAGGUUAAU
ensembl:ncRNA lncRNA:CR45456 long non-coding RNA:CR45456